AGGAACAAAAAUCAACAUUACAAGGCCAGGAAUGGCCAAAGCCACUGCCCAUUCGACCCAGUUCAUAGUAAGGCCUGUAAUCUUAGUAACGAAAUCCAGUGCCAACACAUUAGGAGCCAUAGCUGUUAAGAACAUGAAGGACGUAAUCUUUGUUACGAAGUAACCAUUCAUCAAGAUAAAGGAACCGCCGCGUUUUGCAGUAUCACCAGGGUAAGAACCGAUAGAUUCUGCAAUGGAUAAGUU
rnacentral:antisense_RNA from 1 species